rnacentral:lncRNA from 1 species
AAUCAGAGCCAGCCAGCGCAGGCUUGCACCGCGCAGCAAAGGGGGAGCCCAGCAUCAAGUCCACGCGGAAAGCAUCUGAAUCCCGGCUGCUGGCUUUACUGGCGGAGCACAGAGGAAAACCCCAAGCUCCUGCCUACAGCCCCGGCCUGUCUGGCUCCCUCCUCCACGUCCCCACUCCACGCCACGUUCUGUGCCUGGCAGUCCACGCGCCCUAAUCCAACUCGCAUUUAUUUAAGCACCCGCCGUCUACACCGCAUCAUGGUUCCUCCAGGCACUGCAGGAAGAAAUGGCCCCAUGCCGGGGGAAAGAAACACCAAAAGGACAGCCGCGAGGGCUGAAGACGACCCCGAAUGACGGGAUGACUGCCUGCAACGGGUGGUCAGGAGAGGAGCUCCCACCCUCACCCCGCGGGUCGUGACACUCCCAGGGAAGGGAGGGCCCCGAGGGGUGCACCAGGCCCGGCCUUCCUGGAGUCCGCCACAGCCGACUGGCGGCGUUAAGAGGUCCGCAUCCCAGGACCGCCCGAGCGCUCCUCUGCCCCAAGGAGGCGACCCCGACUCCGGAUCCCGGGAAAACGGCGAGCGCGGGUACCGAACCUCGGUAAGGGCCGGAGCGGGCUGUCACCGGCCCCCGCAUCCCUCCCCUGCGGCCGCGGCCGGCCGCUCCCUCCCCAGCUUGACAGUCGCUGCAGUCACGGACGGAGCGUCUCUGCCCCAGCGUCGCCGCUCGCCCGGACGCCCGCACCCCCGUGCCCCACGCGGAGGGGGGCAGUGCCGGGAAGACCUCUCCGGACCCUCCCCCCGCCCUGGCCCCCAGACUCCGGAAAAGCGGUUACCUGGCGCGCGGGUUGGGGCGAGAGCACGACUCGGUGGAGGAGGAAGAGAAGACAGUGGCCUCCGGCCCAGGGAGAUUUGGGAAAUUUGGGAGACUUGUUCCGCACUAGGUGACAGCUGUUCGCUGCGCACGCGCACAGGACCCCGGCCGCCCGAUCACUGCGCCGCGCCUCACCCUCCCGUCGAGGGGGUGGGUGGGAGGCAGCGGCGAAGGCGCGCGCACCGCCGGCUCUCCCUGCGCGAGGGCGCGCGCGCCGUCACGUGACCGCUGGGGCCCGCACUUGGUGAGUCACGUGGGCUUACAAACAGCUUAAAGGUGCCCGGCACGCUCUUGCUUUGGGCUCAACUUCCGCGCUGUGGUUAACUUAGGCUUGCUGGCGCGCAUCUUCUUGUCCUUUGGACACAGGCAUAUCCCAUUCUUUCCGGAGGGGAAAGAUACUCGCGUAGAAGGAGAAAACAGGUGCACAGAACCUUGCCCGGAAGCGCUGGCUGGGGUCCCGCAGGGCUGGACCUGAUGUAGUCCACGCGCCACACGUCCUCCUGGGCGCCGACGCGCACCUAUGGCGGCCUCCGACGCGCGGACGUCAGCGUGGCGUUACCGGGGUGGAGCCUCGGAAUGUACUGGAGAGCCUGGCGAGAAAGUCGGGGCUCGCAGCUCUCCGGCGAUGACAGCGCUGUGUUCCCGUUCUCCCUUCACCCGGUGGCCGGGACCACUGAGCCUCCUUCCCACAAUGGGAGAUCCCGAAUAGGCGAAGAGUAUCUUCGUGUCCCAACCCUUUAACAACUACCGCGCAGGAGCGUGUCAGCCUCUGGAAGCAAAACUGUCCGGUGUUGAGUCACCUACACCCAGCACGUCCCGCCCCGACCCGCCCAAGUGUGCUCUUAAGAUAGGGAGGCACAAAGGUGACCCCAAUAGGAAUCCUGGGCUGGCGGUCCCUCAGAAACUAGAGUUGAUAACAGUUUGGCCAGAACUGAAGUGACUAGAAAUGCAGGUGCCUCCAGCGUCUGAGACUAGAUAAGUUAACUUCCUACAACUUGUUGCUUUUCCUCUGUAACUCCGCCUUCCGAGGUGUCAGAAGGAACCAACCAGACCUUAAGCCCCUGUACUGCCAAAGACAGAUGGUUGAGCAUCAGAUGUUUUGCAAAGCUGAAUGAUUUUUUUUUUAAACUUCCUACAGAGCUCCCAGCUGGGUCCCUUGUGGCGUUUUCUCUAACGUCUUAGCUAAGAAAGAUUGGGCAUAUCUUCACACCAGUGAGCAAAGUUGGGCUAAUAUGCUGAAUUUUCUGUUACAUUAUACUGAUAACAGAAUUUUAAAAAUAUAUCGACACCGCUUACCACGCGCUUGAACUCGUUUCUCACUGGGGUGAACAUUGUGAGGACAGAUGGAAUGUGAUUAAUUGAGCUAAGGCUAACGGGAUUAUUGGGUCACCAUAUUUCUUUAGUUGUUAAAAACAAAGUUCCGCUACACACACAGACACACUCUUUUUUGAGACGGAGUCUUGCUGUGUCGCCCAGUUUGGAGUGCAAUGGCGCUAUCUCGGCUUACUGCAACCUCCGCCUCACGGGUUCGAGAGAUUCUCCUGCCUCAGCCUCCCGAGUAGCUGGGAUUACAGUCGCCCGCCACCACGCCCAGCUAAUUUUUGUAUUUUCAGUAGAGACAGGGUUUCGCCAUGUUGGCCAGGCUGGUCACAAACUCCUGACCUCAGGUGAUCCGCCCGCCUCGGCCUCCCAAAGUGCUGGGAUUACAGGCGUGAGCCACUUCACCCGGCCACACACAAUUCUGAACUUGGCUAACGUAUACUCAACUGGGAAUUUUCCAAAUGUGUGCAUGUAACGUCAGGAUCCCAACCAUCCUUACAAGUAAAUUGGAUAUGCUAAAAUAAUAAAUAUGCAACCUAACACUUACUUAGAACAGUAAUGUGAGCUACACACUGUCUUCAGAGCUUCACAUGUAUUAAUAAAUACUUAUAAUAAUUCAAUGAAUAGGUACUAUUAAUACCUCAUUGUUACAGAUGUGGAAACUGAAGCAUAGCGGUUAAGAAAUAUGUCCACAAUCAAGCAGCUAGGGUCUUUUGGAAGCCAUAUGCUAUAUUAGAAAUCUUGUGCACCAGAAUAAAAAAUCUGGAAACCUGAAAUCCAUUUUCUUCAGAAUUUGCAGAUGCACAAAUAACAUUUCUUUACCAUUGUGAAUUAGAGUAUGACUUUUUUUUAACCUGAAGAACUGAAGUGGAUAUACGAACCUUGCUAACUUCACUGAGCACUUUUUAAUUUUAAGGAAGAUAAUGUAAAAUGUCAAAACACUUCAAAAGCUGUAAAGCACUAUGUGAAUCCAUUAAGUGCUUCACAGUCUUGGAAAGUGAAGAGAGCCUACUAGAAAAUCAACUGGACUCAUGGCACUGAGGGCAGUCUUGUGUCCCUAAUGUAUCAAAAUACCUCCAUAUUAUGAAUUAUCGUGAAAACAUUUUAGCCAUAUAGUAAAUUUUUUAUUUAGAUUCAAUUGUUUAAAUCCCAAUUGCAAUAUAUUAAUGGAAGGCUGUAUGAACAAUACAUAGAUUCCCCUUGAAGUUUAUAUGUAAUGUGAACUAACGAACAGAUCAUCAGAUCACCUCAGAGACAAUACUUGUUUUUAUUUUAUUUUAUUUAUUUGUUUGUUUUUUGAGACAGAGUCUUACUCUGUUGCCCAGGCUGGAGUGCAGUGGCGCCAUAUCGGCUCACUGCAGCCUUGACCUCCCGGGUUCAAGCAAUUCUCGUGCCUUGUGCCUCAUUCUCCUGAGCAGCUGGCAUUACAGGCAUGUGCCAUAAUGCCCAGCUAAUUUUUGCAUUUUUUUAUAAUUGAGACAGAGUCUCACUCUGUUGCCCAGGCUGGAGUGCAGUGGCGCGAUCUCAGCUCACUGCAACCUCCGCCUCCUGGGUUCACGGCAUUCUGCUGCCUCAGCCUCCCAAGUAGCUGGGACUACAGGCGCGUGCUACCACACCUAGCUAAUUUUUUGUAUUUUAAGUGGAGACGGGGUUUCACCGUGUUAGCCAGGAUAGUCUUGAUCUCCUGACCUUGUGAUCCACUCACCUUGGCCUCCCAAAGUGCUGGGAUUACAAGCGUGAGCCACCAUGCCCGGCCUAAUUUUUGUAUUUUUUGUAGACAGGGUUUCGCCACAUUGGCCAGGCGGGUCUCAAACUCCUGAGCUCAAGUGAUCUGCUGGCCUCCGCCUCCAAAAGUGCUGAGAUUACAG